rnacentral:lncRNA from 1 species
UCUUUGCCACAUUAACCCUUUGGACCUACAAACACACGAAAAUAGCUUAAAAUACUAAAAUAACUAUGAACUAACAACAUAAAUGCCAAGAAAUAAGCUAACUAAGUCGCAUAAAUAUGCUCCUAUCAUUCAACAGUCUUCAAGUUCAUGGAGUUAGGGUUCAUGGCUGUAUAAUCAUGUAACAUGAAAGAUAUUAACUUUAAUCCCCAAACUUUAUAUCAUAAACUCAAGAAUCUUCAGAUUAAGAGUUGUAUGAAAAUUUUCUUGAUCAUGACACUUUCACAGCCAACAUACAAUUUUCCGUAGCCAUAAUUACAGACCUUUGUGGCUACAAGAAGUGACUGGGUUCGUAUAUUGGUAUAUGAAUUGUCAUGCCAUUAUGAAAUCAAUACAUAAACAAUUAAAACAUCUUUAGAUGAUCAGUGAAUAUAUUUUGAUCCAUAGUGCCAACUCUAAUUCGUAUACUGCAUAAAAAACAUACACAGCACAGAUAGCUUUAGCUACAAUGUUCGAAUACAUGUCAUUCCCAUAUAGUAUACCAUUAGACCUUAAUCUGAAAAUUCACACAAUUGCUUAUGCUUUCUUCUUUAGGGUUAGUUGGUAAGUGAAAGCUCUGAUACCAAAUGUGAAACAUAUAUUUAAUAUGAUUAUGAACUUUGAAUAUUAUAUCACAGUACCAGGUUAACCACUUACCUGAAGACAACGACAUAAUUGUUGGGAUUAGAGUUCUUCUACAUCUCCCCUCUUCAGUAUGCAAGGUCUUGAGAAUGGGGUUUGAGUUCCUGUAAUCUUGAGUGUUUAGAAAGAGUUCAGGGACCCUAAUAUAUAUACCAUACACAGUGGUAAUCAACUCGGACUCUUCCCAUUGAGUAAUCAUGAUUGAUCUUAACCUUAUCACCAUGAAUUCCUUUAUUCAUAUCAACUAGAAAGACUUCUAGUAACAUCAUAAGUGUUCAAGUGAAUGAAUCCUAAUAUAAAUGUUCCUUAUCAGCUCACAAACAUUGUCAAUCUUGAUCUCUAAUAUUCCCACGUGAAUAACUAGUGCUAACCAAGUGUAUAGCUCUUAUCAAAACUUACCACUAAACCAUCAGCUCGUGGUUCUAGAAGUCCAAACUAUUAUGACAAAUCCCAUCUCUAGUCCUCAGUCAUCCUCAGCAGUUGCAGUACUAUUGAUACAAUCGAGUCAUAUUACACACAGAAAAAGAAAUAUAUGCAACAGAAUUAUUCAGUCCAUAACUUUUGAAGAUAUAUUCUCUGAUCAAUCGAAACGCAUUUUUACCGUAUAUUUGCAUCACUGUAAGACGUCAGUACAUUUUUAUUAUACAUACUACUCGUUUUUGGAAGAUGCAUGUCUUGAAAUUGUUAGGAAGAAUAUAGAUUGAUGCAAAGGCCCUCUUUUCCAAGAUGCUAUAUAUCUUUUUGCCAAUCAUGUUAUGUUCUUUUACUCUCUUUUUUUUAAAUUUUUAUUUUUAUUUUAUGAAGUUGUUCUUCUCAUUUUUUGACAUCUGGAAUAGAAAAUCAAACACAAGUAUAUAUGAUUAUCUAAUUUCUCUUCAUUUUUUCGUAUGGCCAGCUGAUUCGAUAUUUGAAGUCGCUACUACUGGCCGAGUAACUUCAAUUUCCUUCUGGUGCAAUAUGUAUACGAAGUUUCUUGGAAAUUUCCUUCUAUUGGUUUUCGAUAAGGUACCUAUAGGUGUAUAUAUCUUUUUCAAUAUCAAUAUAAAUAUCAUAUGAGGAAGGAUAAUGUCUGUGUUUCUCAUGGAAAAACCUAUUUGUCUCAUUCAUUUUCUUUAUCAUCAUAUCUAAAGAUCAACCAAAUUGAAUGAUUUUUGCAUAUAUGACAUUUAGAUGAAUAUAAGGCAAAUGAACGGUUUUGAUUAUGAAGUUCGUACAUCGAAG